GCUUGUCUCAAAGAUUAAGCCAUGCAUGUCUAAGUAUAAACGACUUUAUACUGUGAAACUGCGAAUGGCUCAUUAUAUCAGUUAUAGUUUAUUUGAUGGUCCUUGCUACUUGGAUAACCGUAGUAAUUCUAGAGCUAAUACAUGCAUCAAGCCCCGACUUCUGAAAGCGGUGUAUUUAUUAGAUGGAAAACAAUGCGGGGCAACCCGGUAUAUGGUGAUUCACAAUAAAUUUCGGAUCGAUUUAUCGAUGCAUCAUUCAGCUCUGGAUGGUAGGGUAUUGGCCUACCAUGGCUUUAACGGGUAUCGGAGAAUUAGGGUUCGAUUCCGGAGAGGGAUCCUGAGAAAUGGCUACCACAUCCAAGGAAGGCAGCAGG
rnacentral:rRNA from 1 species